GGGUAGCGGAACACGUACACAACCUUCCUUUAAGUGGGGGAUAGCCCAGAGAAAUUUGGAUUAAUACCCCGUAAGAUUAUUAGAUGGCAUCAUUUGAUAAUUAAAGCUCCGGCGCUUGAAGAUGGGUGUGCGUCUGAUUAGGUAGUUGGUAGGGGUAACGGCCCACCAAGCCAGCGAUCAGUAACUGGUGUGAGAGCACGACCAGUCACACGGGCACUGAGACACGGGCCCG
rnacentral:rRNA from 1 species